UCCAGGGUAGCCUAGUGGACAUGGCAUCUGCCCGGUAAGCGGAAGAUUGUGGGUUCGAUUCCCGCCCCUGGAA